rnacentral:rRNA from 1 species
UACGAAGGGGGCUAGCGUUGCUCGGAAUGACUGGGCGUAAAGGGCGCGUAGGCGGAUGGCACAGUUAGAUGUGAAAUUCCCGGGCUUAACCUGGGGGCUGCAUUUGAUACGUGUUGUCUUGAGUUCGGAAGAGGGUCGUGGAAUUCCCAGUGUAGAGGUGAAAUUCGUAGAUAUUGGGAAGAACACCGGUGGCGAAGGCGGCGACCUGGUCCGACACUGACGCUGAGGCGCGAAAGCGUGGGGAGCAAACAGG